ACGAACGCUGGCGGCGUGCUUAACACAUGCAAGUCGAACGGAAAGGCCCUGCUUUUGUGGGGUGCUCGAGUGGCGAACGGGGGAGUAACACGUGAGUAACCUGCCCUUGACUUUGGGAUAACUUCAGGAAACUGGGGCUAAUACCGGAUAGGAGCUCCUGCUGCAUGGUGGGGGUCGGAAAGUUUCGGCGGUUGGGGAUGGACUCGCGGCUUAUCAGCUUGUUGGUGGGGUAGUGGCUUACCAAGGCUUUGACGGGUAGCCGGCCUGAGAGGGUGACCGGCCACAUUGGGACUGAGAUACGGCCCAGACUCCUACGGGAGGCAGCAGUGGGGAAUAUUGCACAAUGGGCGGAAGCCUGAUGCAGCAACGCCGCGUGCGGGAUGACGGCCUUCGGGUUGUAAACCGCUUUCGCCUGUGACGAAGCGUGAGUGACGGUAAUGGGUAAAGAAGCACCGGCUAACUACGUG
rnacentral:rRNA from 1 species